CUUGAUCCUCAAGCUUCGAAAUGGCUCGGGACUUUUCAUAUCCCAAUGCAACUGUAGCUUCUCUGAGUGAAUUAACCAUGGGAGUAGGGCCACAAAUAAGAACUUUGGUUUCAGGAGAAGGAGCAGGGAAAUGCGCCUUGAUAAGUUCUUGAGUAACAAAUCCAACACUUCCCUUCCAGUUUUCAGGAGGAUUGUUCAAAACAUAAUGAACGGUAAAACGAGGAUCCUUCUUAGCAAGUGCGUCAAUCUCAUCACGAAGAACAAUAUCACCCUCUGAUACAUUAGCAUAUAAAAGAGUGAUUUCCGUUGGAUCUUCAAAAUUAGAAAGAACAGCACGAAUGAUUUGAAGCAUAGGAGUAAUACCUGUUCCGCCUGCGAUCAUGCCAAAAUGGCGCGCGAGGCCAGUGCGAUGCUUCCAAUUUCCCUUAGGGCCACGAACACCGAUGGUAUCACCAAUCUUAAGUUCAGAAAACUUCUUACUCACUUUGCCAUUGGGGUAAGACUUUACGAGCAAAUCAAAAUAACCUUUGUCAGCAUCGGAAGACAGAGGAGUGUAAGAUCUGGAAUACUCCUUACCAUCAACAUCAACAAAGACCUUUAAAUGUUGUCCUAUGGGGAGACCAAGAACAUCGUUAGCGCGAGGCAGACGGAAACGAUAAAUGGCAGUGUUGUGGUUCAAUACAGCUUUAUCACUAAGUUCAAAUUGUUGAAUUUUAUCACUCAAUACUUUACGAACGCGUCCACGCCAGAACUUAUGAAAACCAAGAGAGAAUGCCACAACAAUAGCGUAACCCACCCAUUCGCGUUUCACAAUGUAAGUACCAAAGAUGAUCAAAAACACUGGAAUAUAGACUCCAUGCAACGGGGUACUAAGAAGAGUUUGUUUGGCCAUUUCAAUUAGGAUUGUGAGCCAAAAUAACUAAAGAAAAAGUAGAGAAGCCUGAAAGCAGAAGAAAUGCGAAACGUUUCCAGAAGACUCAAAUUACAAAAUCUUCAAGAAACUAAAAUAAUUUAAAGAAUAAGAAACCUUUCAAUAGUUUCAAAAAAUUUAAAAGAAAUCUCUAGUUUUCACGAUUCCUGCAGUAUUGCUAACAGUAGAAGUUUGGUCAAGGGCAAGUCUAUAAAACUAAUCAGAUUUCUCGAAUGAUUUUUUAAGGUCAUGAACAACUAAGCAUGGAAUACUGACGAAAGAGAACAUAAAUCAUCACAUAAUCCAUUUCAUUGUAAAUUAUAUAGAUUGAGGGCUUUCGCUUCAAAAUCUGCUAAAAUUAUUUAUUUUGAAAAACCAGCUUGUCGAACCAUACUUGUUCGCAAGCAUAUGCUUGUUUAUCACGCCGAUUCAUAAUUUAAGAAAUGAAUUAAAUUUUAAUAACUAAAUUUUGUAAAUUCGUUAAUAAAUAGUCUUUCAGCAAUGAUCUACUACCGGAAUACAUGAGAUAUAUCCAUCUAUUUAUAUAUAAUUCGGUAUACAGUUUGGAAGUGAAACACCGUCUCUGAGGAACAAGCAUUAAAAGACAGGUAAUUGUUUCCAAGUAAGAAGAAGCAAUUUAAAAACCCUAGAUCCAUCAACUUGCAUUACUUAACAUCACAUUUUUUAGUAAAGGACCAGUGUAGGCACUAAAAGGAAGAACCCCAAUAGCAUCCAAUGUUUCCUCAGGUUUUCAAAAUUUUUGUUAGCGAAAGAUACAGGAGCAGUAUAAAGCCCUGCAUUGGGGUCUCCUGUUGAUGAUCCUCCAUUCGAAGCCUUAAAGACUUGAAGCGAUUUUAAAAGUAAGGGAGCUUGAAUAGCUUCCAAUGCAGACAUUUGCUCUCCAAGGCCAUAAAGUCCUAUUAUAAAGUUAGAACCAAUACUGUUUUUUUUUAACAGUCAAACAUACCAUCCCAAGUAUCGUUAUUCCACCACCAUUGAACACCACAAGUCACUCCAUCAUAACCGCCGCAACAUGCCCCGGCUGCAGCUUUGGCGGUGGAUAUCAACAAUGGUUCUAAUAACGGUGCAGUGAAUGGAGCCAUUUGUGCCGUGUAGACCAUAAAUCUGGUCAAAAAGCCUUUGAAAGACGUUUGAUCAUAGUUACAUGAAAGAGCUAUUUCACAUACUGGUUCGAACAUAAUAUCCUUGAAAAAAAAGGUUUUGGCAGUUUUGUUGGCAAAACCUUCAACUCGAGUUUUCCAUACCGUAGAGUUCGUCUGGUGAAACUGUUAGUUACAAUCAUUUUGCAUUUUACAGUAAAGUUAUAAUGUAUAUAUCCUUUAAACGUACAUAGUUAUACAUGUAAGCUGCUCCUGCCAUGUAUAAUCCUAUAUUGUAAGUCCACUGAGUAAUUUCGAUAGAUGAGCAAUUAUCUUUUAUAGAACUCCCAUCAAAUACAGUGUAAUCUUCUUGAAUAAACCCAAUCCUUUGGCUCCAAUCGUAUGCUACAU
rnacentral:lncRNA from 1 species